AGCCCAACAGUCGGCCAGUCACAGCGGGCAGGACUUUGAGCCAAACUCAUAGGUGUUCUCAUCGCUCCAGGAAUUGGAACGUUCAUAUAGGGGAGGAGACGACGCACCUGAAUUUUGAUUUUUCAUGGGAGGUUUUUGUUGAACAAGGCAUAGAGUCGGCUCGAUCUUUAUUGUGUAUUUUUAUGUAUUAUUUUUUGUGUAACACUCGAUGCAUCAUCUUUGUAGAAACUUUCA
rnacentral:lncRNA from 1 species